UUGUUUUUUUCAAUUCAGUCCAAUACUUACUAGUGCACCCCCUUUCAUUUCCAUUCUCUAUUUUAUUUCAACUUUUAUUUCUGUUUUGUUUUUUAUUAUUUUAAAAUACUUUCUUUGUCCAUAAACUCCCAAAAAAAUAUUUUCCACAUUCUUGAUGUCUUAUUUAAUUUAUUUUAAUUUUAAUUUUCGAAUUUAUUUAAUGUUAAUAUUUUAUUUUAAUUAUCAAUUCUAAAUGGUUCAUAUUAGCAUACAUUUU
rnacentral:lncRNA from 1 species